rnacentral:lncRNA from 1 species
UACGUACCACAUUAGCCAAAUAAUUGAUCAUAAUAGACAAUUCGUCGAUCAAUAAUACUUUCAAACUAACAAAGCAUCUUCGUUAUCUCGGGCUUUCUGGCCGUAAGAUGUUAUUGAUCGAUGCGUGUUCAUGACCAAAUGAGCAUUGUAAUUUCUGUACUUCAGCUUGGCAGGUUUACAUAUACCACAAGUAACAUUCAUACGGCUUAUUAGGGGCGGUCGUCAAGCCGUCAAGGUAUGCCGGUGGUGUGGCCAGACAAUGUCUCCGGCUUACAGAGGCCUCUCAUGUUGUAACACCUCUGUCAAUCAAAUUAUAAAUUAUAUAUAUAUAUAUAGAGGCCCGUUCUGAAGCGGACGUCCGCACUUCGCUAAAGUGCGGACGGCGAUGCAGCGGAGGCGUUCCAGGCGGUGGCGGCGGCGCGCGGCUUGCAGGAGGGAGGCCGGAGGCAUCUUGGAUUGUUCUGGGCAGUGUUCAAGGUCGGAGGAGGUCGGGGUUGCAGGUUUUGGGCAGCAACCCGACCUGCAACUGCAGGUUUUCUGGGCAGCCCUCCAACGACGUCGCCGGCGACUCCACCGACUGCAGACGGCUCCGCCUGACCCCUGGCGUCCUUCCGGCAACCCUCGCCGCUCCAUCGCGCCCCGAGCCGAGCUGCAGCAGCGCCGUCCGCACUUUAGCGAAAGUGCGGACGUC